AUAUCAUCUGCUAACCGUUGACUUUUUAACUAAUGAUCGUCUGACUACUCGUGUUUUCUCUCCAUUGGACUUGUAACGAUGUCGCUGUGAUCCCAGAUCUCAGCAAUUACUUUGCUUCUGUGGACCCACUACCACGUCUGCUCACCCCAGAGAUUUCAUUUCACAUAGCAAUCAGAAGAUUUUAGUGCCACCAAAGGCAGAAACUGCUGAGUUCCUACCCAUAAUGACGGCAGUGAGAAGGGCCACCCGUUGAUGAGUCACCACCUCCAUUUACUGCAUGGAGGUCCCACCGCCACUGGGCAGAGUUGGCUGGCCACGUCUGACCACGCGUCUACUCAGCCAUUGGAAUAUUUUUAACUAUGAAGCCAACUUAAUUAGUUCGAAUCACAAGGCGUUUAUUUGCUGUCCAUCCAUAUUGCUCAGACAGAGAUGGGAAGGAAAGCCUUCAUAUUUUCUGCUCCAGCCACAUGGAAUUCUUUGCAGAAAGAGAGUAAAUGAGGAAACUGGUAACUCUGUGCCAAAUUGGAGACUAUUAUAAAUUGUACGGCAAAUGGCUCCAUCUGUAUAUUGUGUCUCUUGUACUUUUUAGUGCUGCAUUGUCUGUUUGACAGAUAUUGUAUAGAUUUGUUUGAAACUUUUAAUUUUGCCAUAUUU